GCCGGGGCGGCGCUUCCGCCGCUACAGCUCAGCAGCAGCCCCAGUGGCGAGGGCUCCGCCUCGCCCCCGGUGCAGAACUUGGUCUUCAUGCCGGACAGGCGGGCGAAGAGACGCGGGCGGCCGCAGCGCGAGAGGCUCAAUGUCUCUCAGUAGUCUCUCUGCCUCGUUGAAUGACUGACCAGGACGAGACCCUCUUCAUAAAAGCCAGGACACUUGAGUCAUUUGUGUAAGAAACCUGCUGCCUCAAGUCAAGGAGACCUCACAGCAAUCACAAGUCAAGCACCUGAGGGGCCCAGGACCUGCAGAACAUGUGAUGAUCAGAGCCAAACUUCUGGACCUUCAGGACAAGGAGGUGGACACUGCGGUCACCCCACUUUCACGGACGGGAAACUAAGGCUGGAUCGGCCAAGCUGCUCAGCCUGGAGCCCACAGAGAUGGAAUUUGCUCAGAGGCUCUCCCAGGGCCCUCUGGAAGCCCAGAGUCCCAUCUCCCUCCCACACCCCACGUCUUCUGACUCCGCCAUCCCCUUGUAAACCCCUGCGUCAGCCACACCGGGCAGCACCAUCUUUCCCAGAAGCCACCCUGUCCUCACUUGUCUCCAAGACUGUGAACACAUUCACUGUUUUUCUGACCCUGUUUCCAAGCUCCUGUUCACCACAUCCUUUUUUCUAUUUUAAAGAGAAAAAAAUAAAAACAAAAUUUCAAAACAAGAUAAA